rnacentral:misc_RNA from 1 species
GAUGAAGAACGUAGCGAAAUGCGAUACUUGGUGUGAAUUGCAGAAUCCCGUGAACCAUCGAGUCUUAGAACGCAAGUUGCGCCCGAAGCCACUAGGCCGAGGGCACGCCUGCCUGGGCGUCACACGCCGUUGCCCCCCCAUCUACUCCUUCGGGAUUGCGGGGGGGCGGAUGAUGGCCUCCCGUGCGCCUAGCCGCGCGGUUGGCAUAAAUACCAAGUCCUCGGCGACGCACGCCACGACAAUCGGUGGUUGCGAAACCUCGGUUGCCCGUCGUGUGCGUUCGUCGCGCAUCGAGGGCUCGAAAAAAUGCUCGGCUCCGGCUGGGCUUUCAACGCGACCCCAGGUCAGGCGGGGUUACCCGCUGAAUUUAAGCAUAUCAAUAAGCGGAGGA